AAGAAAACUUCUCAUCCAACUUCCAUUCUUUUCCUUCUUCAAUUUGCAGAGAACAUUUAAAAGAGAGUUUGGAAGAAGAAGAGGAAUUUUAGUAGAAUUUCUAGGUUGAAGAAGAGGAGGAGAACUCAAGCAAAGUGUAUCCAUGGCUGAAUUUUGGUUCAUUUUGCACAUCACUAGUUUUCAAUUCGGUUUGAACUCUUCAAAAGAAAUUAAGAGGGCAGUUGGUUUUCAUUCGAAAUCAGGAGGUCUCUGGUCUUUCUAGUAUUUCAGAGUGUACCGGUGGAGUUAGGAUCUCUAUUUGGGACGAGUUAAAGGGAUCAUGGGCGCGCGAUUCUGGAAGUGGUUCUGUUUCGAGGGUUAUCUGAGUUUAUGCACGGCGAAUCAGAUUUACAUGUCUUCAGGCCGAGAAGAAUUAAACCGAGCUUAUAGACCAAGGAUCUAGCCCAAGACGGUGAGUGACAAAACCAACUUUGAAAUAUUUUCCAUAACUGUUAUAAUGAUUGAAUGCGAUAAAUGUUUAUUUACGAAGCCAUGAAAGGUAUUUGAAUUUCAUGACUAUUUUCAAGUAUACAUUUGGAGACUAGAUUUCUUAAAGAAAUUUAUGCUAGCACAUAGAUAUUAAAUGUUUGGAAAGUAUUUAAACCACAAUGUUUUAAGCAAAGCAUGAAUUAGUAAGAAGUUUUGUUUUAAGAACUACAGUUUUCCAUGAAAGAGCUGAGUAAAAUUCGAGCUUUGUGUAAAAUUUAUAAGCAGGCAUGUUUUAAUAUUUUUAGAUGAUUUAUGAAAUUUUCAUUAACUACAUGACUGGGAUCUUGAGCCUGAGGCUAAAGAUUACCGUGUGCACACUAGUUAGAUUCCGUUGUUGACGUUGAGUGUACUCCGUAACAACGAUGCUGUCCUGAGUACUGGGUGGACCUCACUACGACAAAGACGAUAGGAGUGCUGGGCGGGCCUCACUACAUCGUAAAGCUUGUAAACGUUGUUGUACUGGGUGUACCCUACACAACGUAAAUUUGUCAUGUUAGUUAAAAUGUUUCGAUAUACUUGAUAUGCCUUGCUAGAUUUCAAUUACGAACAUGCUGAGUAUUUUAGAAAUCUAUUCUUAGU